rnacentral:rRNA from 1 species
GUAAGGAAUAUUGGGCAAUGGGCGCAAGCCUGACCCAGCCAUGCCGCGUGAAGGAUGACGGCCCUAUGGGUUGUAAACUUCUUUUGUACGGGAAAAAACCACCGGUCGUGACCGGUGCUGAUGGUACCGUAAGAAUAAGCAUCGGCUAACUCCGUGCCAGCAGCCGCGGUAAUACGGAGGAUGCAAGCGUUAUCCGGAUUCAUUGGGUUUAAAGGGUGCGCAGGCGGAAUAAUAAGUCAGUGGUGAAAUCCUACGGCUCAACUGUAGAACUGCCAUUGAUACUGUUAUUCUUGAGUACACUUGAAGUGGGCGGAAUGUGUCAUGUAGCGGUGAAAUGCUUAGAUAUGACACAGAACACCGAUCGCGAAGGCAGCUCACUAAAUUGUAACUGACGCUCAUGCACGAAAGCGUGGGGAUCAAACAGGAUUAGAAACCCUAGUAGUCC